GCCGAGGUAGCCUAGCCCGGCCAAGGCGGUUGCUUCGAGAGCAACUGUCCGUUCAGGACACGAGAGUUCAAAUCUCUCCCUCGGCG
rfam:Halomicrobium mukohataei DSM 12286, complete genome.